AAAGAGAGCCACUGCCCUAAAGAAUGACUUUAUCAACAACAGAAAAGCCAUGAAGGUAGAAGUGAAGACGAUGUGAAGGAUUUUGUCUGGUUCAUUUGGAGCACAUUUGAAGGGUGGAAAGAAGACAAAGAGGAAGCUCGGGAGACGUAAGCCUGGACCUUAGCCAUGGAGGAGGAUUAUAUGAAGAGGGGCCACCCUGAUGUCAUAAGGCAGCAGCAAACAAGCAACGUGGAUAAAGGCUACUCGGAGAGCAAGCGUGCCGAUUCGGGCCCGAACGGCUGCUUGCGGUGCUGCAAGAGUACCAAAAACUGCCUGAUGAGCCCGGAGUGCGGCAGAGCGCUCAGCAUCGCCAGUGUCAUCUCCAUGUGUGGCAUGUGCAUCCGCAUGUGGACAUAGAUGUCUACUGGUUCGGAAUCGAGAACACUCUGUCUCCUGGUGGCUGCCACCCUGAACUUAGAACAAUAGGAGGAAUCAUGAUUAUGGAAUCUCUACUAUGCUUCCACUCAACAGCCAAUAUACUGUAACACACACUUAGAUUGAGCUCCACCCUAUUUAAUCACCGCUAUCAAUAAACAAACAUCUGUUGAGUCAUACUGCAUAUCUUUCACAACAUGUACAAAUAUUGAGAAAUAUCUUUAAGUAAUGUUUAAAAACGCUAUUAAAUAGAAGGAAGGGUAAAAAAAAAACCCCGAAUGAGGUAGUAUUCUUCAUGUAUAAAAUAUGCCGAGGAUUGAAUACGGAUGGAUCCUCAGAACAGCUGCUCUGUCUUGGAAUGGGUAGCAGUGAGACGUGACUGAGUGGCUUCAGGUGAACAAUCAGAAAAUCCCAGACCUUGAUUUUAACACUUCACCACUUUAACGCCUCAACAAAAACCCUGGGUAUUAGAUACUCUCAGCUCAGAACAAGGCUGUGAAGGGUGAUUUCUCAACUACAUCAUGCUACAAGUCGUUCAGUGUCUCUCUAUGAUUGUCAUCUGCAACUAUUGACAAGGUCAGGGAUAUUGAAAGUCAUGUUCUCUGUGAUUCCGUUUUUGAACUUUCACUUUGUUGACAAUAUUCCAGGUUUAAUGAUCUUAAAUCAUGUAAAUAAUUUAAUCAUUUGAAAUGUCCUCCCUCAUGUUUGUAAUGUUGCAUAUGAGUCAUUUCAUUUGCAUAUGAGUAAUGGAGAAGCCAUAAGCUAUAUUAACAAAUAUUAUACCUGCUUAGACAUUAGUUUCACUUUUUUUGUGAACUAAAACACUUUUGGGAACAUUGUAUAAAAAAUGUGUCACCUCUGACUUUGAUGUACUGCUCUGUGCUUUUCAAAAUACAAAGAAAACAUGAUACGUA